rnacentral:piRNA from 1 species
UGAGGACCAAGUAUGCAAAUAGUGGAG